AAUAUGAAAAAAUGUGUGGGAAGAUGAAUACAUAUGGAACCCUUCAGUACAGACCUCUCAAGAAAAAAAAAAAUCUGUUUAUGUCCUUUGGGGGUCCCAGAAUGGCAUUCCUCAGGAAACAGGUUAAGAUGGUUAAAAUAGCAGUUGAAACUUUGGCAAGAAGGAAACCAUCCAAAAGACAGCUGCAUUGGCAGUACUUUCAGAAGCAUUUACCUAGGAAGUCACAGGGAGAAAAAAAAGAAA